UAGGAAGAUUGAUAUUUUCACACAUGCUUUAGAAGUGAUAGUGGGUAUGAAAUCAUUUGAUUGGCUACAAUUGUUGUAAAAAAACUCGUGGAACGUGCGCAUAGUAGAAGAUGGAAGAACCUUAGAGGAUGGAUGGAUUUAAUGAGGCUUUGGGUGGGAGAGAGAAAAAUAAGAAUGAGAUAGAGAGAGAAUGAGUUCUUAAUAAUGAAGGAAGAUAGUGUGUGAGAGAAUGGUGAGUGGAGCAUGAUAAAAAAACAGAAAAAAAGAAGGAAAUGCCACGUGUACAGUAAAAAGGAGAUAAGAGCUUGUAGAAUGCCAUGUGGAAUUCCACUAAGUCUAAGAUUGCAUGAGAGAGCAGAAUGCUUGUGGUUGCGACACAUCAGCAUUUGGUCCUUUGAACCUUUACUCUUUUAAUGGUAUUAUUGAUUGAUUGAUUGAUUGAUACCCUACAGUCACUCACACACCACUCCAAUUUCACCCCCAAUUUCAAGAACGAUGAUGAUAAUAUAGCCGUUGGUUGUGGCGCGAAGAAGAAUCAACAGAGGGAUACGGUUAGGGUUUCCAAGAUUUUCAACAUUGUCUGUCACAUACGCUUCUGCUUCUUCUGUGCUUGGUUUUCGGGGGCAUGCUGGGGAAGCUAUUACAUAUGGAUCUCUUCUUCUUAAAGUUCUGGAUGCUUGUCUUAUAGCCUGGAAGACAAAAUUGUAGUGUAUGUAGUGGCCCCAUUGAUGCCACCGGAAAUGCUCGAUUUCAUGAGGAUCAAAAUUUGGUUCAUUUUUGACACGCUGCUUCUUCCAACAACUUAUAUCUGGUGUUAGUUAUUGUCCUGCAAUGGUAUGCCAUCGUGACUUGAAGUGGUAAAAUACAUUGUUGGAUGGUAGUCCAGCUCCUCGUUUGGAAAUUUCUGAUUUUGGCUAUUCAAAUUAAAGAGUUGGUCAGUGUUUGUGCCUGGCAGAGAAAGUUUGAUUGGUGUUAGCAAAAUGAUCCUUAUACGGUUGGAGAACGUUGUUAUGUGCUUCACUUUCUCCCCACACUCGCAGACAUUUGCAGCACUAUGACAGAGGGUGUCGCGGUCGCCAAGUUGUGGAAGAUGAGAUACAAGAGGUUCUUGUGAUUAAUGCCAGAAGGUUCACAGACUGCAGUUUGGAUACGAGAAUUCUAUUGAUGUACUUCAAAUUUAUAUUGGUGAUGAUUGAAUUGAUGAGUAUGCUUUAAGGUUUUCGUAGUGACACUUCAAGGGAUUGGGAUUCUUGUUUCUAGAGUUCCAAAGGAGACAAGCUUCCUACAAGUUCCUUGCAAUAUCCAUUAGAGGCAAGCCCUGAAGAAGGUAAAUGAAUACGGUGCGGUAGAAAUUUGGAUGAAUGAGAGAGUAUGAAGAGCUUGUGCAAACAGCUGUGCAUAUUUUGUUUAUGGCUUUCUUGAGAGUUCCACUAUGAAGGCUGCUGAAUACUGACUCAUAUGGCAGUUUGAGGGGAUUCCACCUUAUCUGAUUUGAUGCAGAGUAGAGAGCUUCCAAUACCUCUUGAUGGUGCCACAAAUUUCAGGUAGAAACAUUGAUUUUGGGUAAGAUCAAAGACUUGACCAAGGGAUUGGAAAGAGAAAAUAGAAUAAUUCAAACAAUUAUGAGGCAGCUCUUAUUUGCACUGGAUGGUCUUCACUCAACUGGUAUUGUGCAUAGGGAUAUUAAGCCACAAAACAUUAUUUUCUAUGAAGGGUCUCGUAUAUUCAAAAUCAUUGAUCUUGGAGCUGCUACUGAUCUCCGAGUUGGCAUCAACUACAUUCCCAAAGAGUUUCUUUUGGAUCCAAGUUAUAUGCGCCCACCACACUGGCACCUGCUCGGAACUUCUGGUUGUUGGGCUACAAGUCUGGAACAGAAGAGGAUGGUUUUCUGUCUCCUUCAAGCUAUUAGACAAGCAAGCUUGCGGUGCAGAGAUAGCUUCAAAUCUUGUUGAUUUAUUUGGUGGGAUGAGGUGCUGCCAUGGAAGAGGAGGCAAUCAGUAGUGGAAGGACAGAAAUCGUGCUUGCUCUGGAUAGAACUCACCGAAGAUAUCAUCUGCAACGCCCAUUCUUUAUUUAUCGAUAUGCUGCACCAGAACAGUACAAUAUGAGCACACAAAUCCCAUAUGUGUAUCUUCAGCUCCAAUUGUAAAACUGCACUGUUCCCAAUCUCAUGGCAUGUUAAACAUUUCUUAUGAAUGAUCCAUGGCUUUCGAAGAUAAAUAGCUUCCUUUAUCUCGUAAUAAUAUUUCCUGAUGUUACUUAUCAUGGUUUUCUUGUUUCAAACAACGGAAUUUGCUUGACAGAUUUGUUAUUUAUAGUGCUGGACUGCUGGUCUAAUCUUUCUUCAAAUGGGUUUUUUUUUUGCUUAGCAGGCUUUUUUUGUGAUUCUCUGGUUUUUGGGGUUCAGUGGUCCGAUUCUUUUAUCUCAUUGUCUUGGUUUGUGAAGUGUUUGAAGGGACUCCACAAGACCACUUUUAAUCUCACACGUUGUUACAUCUUCUAGUGUGGUUUUUUUUAGUGAAAAGGUGGAAAAGAGAUAAGGAGUGAAACAAGAAAAGAGUGCUCAAUAGAGAAAAAAUCAUAAAAAGUAUGAAACAAUUGUAUUGGCGGGUGAGUGAGAAAAUUAAAAAGAAAAAGUAAGAUUCUCAUGUUGAAUAUUCACUAGUUUUCCAUUUUCCCCAUUUAGUUAAUUUUUCUUUCUUAUUUUCUCCUUUUACAAUUGUAUUGUUUGUAUUAGGAAUUCUCAUUGUAAUUUUUCUUUUUAGAUUGUAUCUAGGAUCAAAUCUUUGUACUUUGUAUUAGGAUAUAGUUUUGUACUUUUCUUUUUCUCUUGUAAGAGGACUUUGGAAAUUCUUUGAGAACCUUUGGUUGAUCCUUACUUAUUUGCUUUGCUUGUUUGUGCAUCAUUAGAAAUAGGAUCUUUUGGAUGAUCCUCUAGGCUAGAAAUAGGACCCUUUGGAGUGGUUCUUUAGUGGUGUUUUUUAUUGCUUUUGUUUUUAGUGUUUCCUUUUGCUUUUUUGGCAUUAUAUCUUCUUGUGAUGGCAAGAAACAACUGUGGGUCUAUAGA